rnacentral:rRNA from 1 species
AGACCUCAGGUCAGGCGGGGCUACCCGCUGAGUUUAAGCAUAUCAAUAAGCGGAGGAAAAGAAACUAACAAGGAUUCCCUUAGUAACGGCGAGCGAACCGGGAAGAGCCCACCAUGAGAAUCGGUCGCCCUAGGCGUUCGA